rnacentral:lncRNA from 1 species
CUCACUGCAGCCUUGACCUCCCAAGCUCAAGCGACCCUCCCACCUUAGCCUCCCAAGUAGCUGGGACUACAGGCACCCACCACUGCGCCUGGCUAAUUUUUUUUAGUAGAGACGGGGUUUCACCAUGGUCUCGAUCUCCUGACCUCGUGAUCCGCCCACCUCGGCCUCCCAAAGUGCUGGGAUUACAGGCGUGAGCCACCAUGCCUGGCCCAACUUCUUGAUUUUAUGACAAGAUAGAAACUACAACUAAAAACAGCUAGAAAAUGAUGAAAAUGAAAAAACACAUGGUUGACCAAGCUGACUUUAGAGGAAAGUUCAUAGCCUUAAGCACUUCCAUUAAAAGAAUGAAAAUAUAUGCAACACACAUUCAAUACUAGAGUUAACUUCUAUUUUCUUUUUUUUUUUUUUUUUUGAGACGGAGUUUCACUCUUGUCGCCCAGGCUGGAGUGCAAUGGCACGAUCUUGGCUCACUGCAACCUCUGCCUCCUGGGUUCAAGUGAUUCUCCUGCCUUAGCCUCCUGAGUAGCUGGAAUUACAGGCACCCACCACCACACCUGGCUCAUUUUUUUUGUAUUUUUAGUAGAGAUGGGGUUUCACCAUGUUGGCCAGGCUGGUCUCGAAUUCCU